rnacentral:rRNA from 1 species
AUGAAGGAGGUCAUGAGAGCGCGUUUUGUGCCUACUUACUAUAGUAGAGAUCUCUUCAAGAAACUGCAACUUCUCAAGCAAGGCACCAAGUCCGUUGAGGAGUACUACAAAGAGAUGGAGAUUGCCAUGAUACGAGCCAAUGUCACCGAAGAUGUGGCACAGUUCUUGAAUGGACUCAACCACCCUAUCAAGAAGAUCACCGAUUUCCAACCGCACACAAAUCUUCUCGAGCUAGUGCACCAAGCUACCAAGGCGGAACGACAAGUGCAAGACAACAACAAGUACGCCAAGUAUUCCUCCAAGACCUACUGUUCAUACAAUCAAGCUUCAACGACUACGACGCCUUCUCCCUCGACUAAAGCAUCACCAAGCAACGAUGACAAGUCAAGCUACAAGAAACCUUCGACAUCUUCAAGUCGUCCUCCUACUACAAGCAACUAUAAGCCCUGA